UUGCUUUAUCGGAACAGAAGUAAAAAUCCGAGCUGUAGAUAAGAAACGCAUCAGCGCCAUGGUUUUAUGCGCACAAGAAAAUAAUGCAGUCCUCUGCAGAAAGUGCUGUAGAGAGCUGUUCUACUGCUUUCUGACUAAAGAGGAGAUAGUCAAUCUCACUGUAGCUGGAAGGCAGUUGACAAGAAUCUAUUGAAGGCUAUACAUGCGUUCUUGAUGAGCUUUGGCACGUUCAAUUGCAAACUUCAAAGGAUCACCGAUAUAUUCAACUCUGUGAAGAAAAAUGUUAUUACUACAAUGAAAUACAAGACUGACUCCGAGUUCCGUGAAAAAACAAAAAAAAAUCUGCCAUCGAGAGCAACCGAAAGAGACGUGAAGCAACUCGACGAGCGUGUGAGCAACCAGCGCGUCCCGAAAAUUGAAAUGUAUUUUCGGCAAAUUGCAAUCCAAUCAAAACGUGCACCGUGUGCAGCUAUCAGUUCUAUAAAGAACCUUUUCUAUUAGGCAUUAAUAAGAAAUAAAAAAAAACUCGCUAUAAAUAAAGAGCGUGAUACGCGCAAGU